rnacentral:lncRNA from 1 species
AGUUCCUGCCAGGAGUUGUCGGUGCGAGGUAAGGGUCCCAGAGGAGGACGUGUCCCUCUGGAGGGCGCCCAGCCAGGGCGCGGAAGCUCGGGUGCCGCGUGGGGCAGGCGCAGCCGGGAAAGUUGAGGAAUUUUGUGACAGGCUCUGUUAGUCUGUUCCUCCCUUAUUUGAAGGACAGGCCAAAGAUCCAGUUUGGAAAUGAGAGAGGACUAGCAUGACACAUUGGCUCCACCAUUGAUAUCUCCCAGAGGUACAGAAACAGGAUUCAUGAAGAUGUUGACAAGACUGCAAGUUCUUACCUUAGCUUUGUUUUCAAAGGGAUUUUUACUCUCUUUAGGGGACCAUAACUUUCUAAGGAGAGAGAUUAAAAUAGAAGGUGACCUUGUUUUAGGGGGCCUGUUUCCUAUUAACGAAAAAGGCACUGGAACUGAAGAAUGUGGGCGAAUCAAUGAAGACCGAGGGAUUCAACGCCUGGAAGCCAUGUUGUUUGCUAUUGAUGAAAUCAACAAAGAUGAUUACUUGCUACCA